AAGAUCCUACGGGACGCAGCAGUGGGGAAUAUUGCACAAUGGGGGAAACCCUGAUGCAGCGACGCCGCGUGAGUGAAGAAGUAUUUCGGUAUGUAAAGCUCUAUCAGCAGGGAAGAAAAUGACGGUACCUGACUAAGAAGCCCCGGCUAACUACGUGCCAGCAGCCGCGGUAAUACGUAGGGGGCAAGCGUUAUCCGGAUUUACUGGGUGUAAAGGGAGCGUAGACGGCGCUGCAAGUCCGGAGUGAAAGCCCA
rnacentral:rRNA from 1 species